rnacentral:rRNA from 1 species
GUGAACGCUGGCGGUAGGCCUAACACAUGCAAGUCGAACGGCAGCACAGUAAGAGCUUGCUCUUACGGGUGGCGAGUGGCAGACGGGUGAGGAAUACAUCGGAAUCUACUUUUUCAUGGGGGAUAACGUAGGGAAACUUACGCUAAUACCGCAUACGACCUACGGGUGAAAGCAGGGGAUCUUCGGACCUUGCGCGAUUGAAUGAGCCGAUGUCGGAUUAGCUAGUUGGCGGGGUAAAGGCCCACCAAGGCGACGAUCCGUAGCUGGUCUGAGAGGAUGAUCAGCCACACUGGAACUGAGACACGGUCCAGACUCCUACGGGAGGCAGCAGUGGGGAAUAUUGGACAAUGGGCGCAAGCCUGAUCCAGCCAUACCGCGUGGGUGAAGAAGGCCUUCGGGUUGUAAAGCCCUUUUGUUGGGAAAGAAAAGCAGCAGGUUAAUACCCCGCUGUUCUGACGGUACCCAAAGAAUAAGCACCGGCUAACUUCGUG